rnacentral:rRNA from 1 species
AUUGAACGCUGGCGGCAGGCCUAACACAUGCAAGUCGAGCGAGCGGCGGACGGGUGAGUAAGGUAUGGGGACUGCCCGAUAGAGGGGGAUAACUACUGGAAACGGUGGCUAAUACCGAAUACUAUCGGAUAACCCAUAUGGGAUUAGCUAGUAGGUGGGGUAAAGGCUCACCUAGGCGACGAUUUCUAGCUGGUCUGAGAGGAUGAUCAGAAACAGUGUGACUGAGACAGGGCCAAGACUCAGAGGGAGGAAUCAGGGGGGAAUAUUGGACAAUGGGCGCAAGCCUGAUGCAGACAGGCCGGUUGUAUGAAGAAGGGCUUAGGGUGGUAAAGUACUUUCAGCGUGGAGGCGUUACCCGCAGAAGAAGCACCGGCUAAGUCCGUACCAGCCGCCGCGGUAAUUC